AUACGGAGGGUGCAAGCGUUACUCGGAAUCACUGGGCGUAAAGCGCGCGCAGGCGGUCUUUUAAGUUGGAUGUGAAAGCCUACGGCUCAACCGUAGAACUGCAUCCAAAACUAUUAGACUAGAGUGUGGGAGAGGAAGAUGGAAUUAGUUGUGUAGGGGUAAAAUCCGUAGAGAUAACUAGGAGUACCAAAAGCGAAGGCAAUCUUCUGGAACACUACUGACGCUGAGGCGCGAAAGCGUGGGGAGCAAACAGGAUUAGAUACCCUUGUAGUCC
rnacentral:rRNA from 1 species